rnacentral:lncRNA from 1 species
GACCGAGGCUUAGGCUCGCCUGCGUGGACGCUGGGGAUGCAGCCACCUAGUUUCUGAAACUGGGAAAAGGUCUGGGGGCUCCGGAGCCCCCACCUCCAUGCAGCCUCAGAUGUUGCUUAGCAACAGAUGCGCGCUCUGGGGCAGCUGCAGGGGCUCAGGACCUACGGAGUGCAAGUGAAGACACCUAUGUUGCAUCUUGCUGGAGAGGCACCUGGCACCUGCCCGCCCCAGCGUGCCUGGAGGGUUCCCACAUCCAGACGGACAGACGGGCCAGGGGACACCCGUCCAGGCAGCCAUGGCUGCUCAGCCACAGUCCCUGGAGGGUCAGGGGCCCAGCUGUGAGGCAGGCGGUGCCCAAGACGCUCUCUGGACCGCACUGCUUCAUCUGAGAGAAAGACUUUUGGAAGGCAUAGGUUGGGGCUCGCCUGGGAACCCCUCUCCAUCCCCCACCCAGACUCCAGCAGGCUGGAGUCAAGCUUGGCUGGGCAGCGGAGGAUCACUGGUGCACAGAGGGCUCCGCGUCUCCCCAAGCACCGCUCACCUGUGAGAUCACCGCCUGGCAGGGACGCCAGCACGGGCUCC